rnacentral:rRNA from 1 species
ACGGGUGCGUAACGCGUAUGCAAUCUGCCUUUCACAGAGGGAUAGCCCAUAGAAAUUUGGAUUAAUACCUCAUAGUAUUACGACUCGGCAUCGAGAUGUAAUUAAAGUCACAACGGUGAAAGAUGAGCAUGCGUCCCAUUAGCUAGUUGGUAAGGUAACGGCUUACCAAGGCAACGAUGGGUAGGGGUCCUGAGAGGGAGAUCCCCCACACUGGUACUGAGACACGGACCAGACUCCUACGGGAGGCAGCAGUGAGGAAUAUUGGACAAUGGGCGCAAGCCUGAUCCAGCCAUGCCGCGUGCAGGAUGACGGUCCUAUGGAUUGUAAACUGCUUUUGUACGAGAAGAAACAUCCCGACGUGUCGGGACUUGACGGUAUCGUAAGAAUAAGGAUCGGCUAACUCCGUGCCAGCAGCCGCGGUAAUACGGAGGAUCCAAGCGUUAUCCGGAAUCAUUGGGUUUAAAGGGUCCGUAGGCGGUUUAGUAAGUCAGUGGUGAAAGCCCAUCGCUCAACGGUGGAACGGCCAUUGAUACUGCUGAACUUGAAUUACUGGGAAGUAACUAGAAUAUGUAGUGUAGCGGUGAAAUGCUUAGA